AUGCAUAGAUAUUACACAUAACCCCGAUUGCGAAGGCAGCUUGCCAAACCAUUACUGACGCUGAAGCACGAAAGCGUGGGUAGCGAACAGGAUUAGAUACCCUGGUAGUCCACGCCGUAAACUUUGCUCACUCGCUGUUGGCGAUACACAGUCAGCGGCCAAGGGAAACCGAUAAGUGAGCCACCUGGGGAGUACGACCGCAAGGUUGAAACUCAAAGGAAUUGACGGGGGCCCGCACAAGCGGUGGAACAUGUGGUUUAAUUCGAUGAUACGCGAGGGACCUUACCUGGGCUUAAAUGUACGAUGCAUUCCGCCGAAAGGCGGAUUUCCUUCGGGACUUUGUACAAGGUGCUGCAUGGUUGUCGUCAGCUCGUGCCGUGAGGUGUCGGGUUAAGUCCCAUAACGAGCGCAACCCCUAUUGUUAGUUACCAGCGCGUGAUGGCGGGGACUCUAGCGAAACUGCCGGUGUAAACCGCGAGGAAGGUGGGGAUGACGUCAAAUCAGCACGGCCCUUAUGUCCAGGGCAACACACGUGUUACAAUGGCCGGUACAGCGGGCAGCGGGGCAGCGAUGCCGAGCGAAUCCCGAAAGCCGGUCCCAGUUCGGAUUGGAGCCUGCAACCCGGCUCCAUGAAGGUGGAAUCGCUAGUAAUCGCGCAUCAGCCAUGGCGCGGUGAAUACGUUCCCGGGCCUUGUACACACCGCCCGUCAAGCCAUGGAAGUCUGGGGUGCCUGAAGGCCGUAACCGCGAGGAGCGCACUAGGGGUAAACAGAUGACUGG
rnacentral:rRNA from 1 species